GUAUUCCAACUUUACUUCAGUCUCAGCUGGGUAAGGACACUCCCCUGUGCUCUCUGAGUAUCCAUCCUGAGCAUCCUCUACAUCCUCCUCCAGGCCAUCCCCGGCCUCCUCUCCUCCCAUCCCGCUCUCUAUGAACUCCUGCGGGUCAAGAGCGGGCCGGUUGCUCAGAAUCCUCUCCAUGGUGUCAUAGAACUUACAAAUCUUGUGAUACUGCCCGUUGUUCCGUAGAUUACCCUCCUUUGCUAACAAGUACUGUCUCUUGAGGCUUUUGAUCCGCACCCUGCAUUGUUCAGGCGUCCGUUCGAACCCCAUCGCGGCCAGCCUCCGGGAGACGUCGCGGUACACGAAGCUGUUUCGGAAGUUUCCAUCCAGAGCCGUCUGGAUGUCCUGCUCCCCCCAGAUGUUCAACAAGGUCCUCGUCUCUACGUCCGACCACAGGAAGCCCCGCGUUGUGUUUGCUUGCAUAGCGGACUGAAGCAGGCUUGCUCACGUUGUAACCUCCAGCACAAUGAGCUGGAUGGAGAUGUUGACACUGCGGAUUAUGAUGGACGUCUGGUCUGGGUCUCUGCUCCUAGCUAUCCCAAACAACGUUAACGACCACAACUUGUCGUCAAGCCAGCGACACGUGAAGAUGCUCCAAUAAGCCCCUCUUGUGUGCACAGUUCUCCUUACCUAAACUUGACCUGCGCUUCAACGCUGUCAACUGCACACAGACGAUCCUGAUCCUGAUCAUGAGGGGUUUUUACUGUGAGGAGUAAAUACAGGAAGAAACAGUCUGUGCUGCUUUCAAUGGUGCCUCGGGAAAUCCAACUCUCAGGAGGUCGGAAGCUGUCAACAAUCCGGGAGCAGCCGAAGCCUCAACCACUUGAAACUGUACUCCUUCUGAUGGCCACUAGAUGCUGAUGAUGGCAUCCUCUAAAUAAAAUAAUUU